UAAAUAACAACAAUGAAUCACUAAAUUGCAUUCUAAGGAGGUUGAGUCUGGUUAUCUUCAAAGCUUUCCUUUUGCUAAACUGGGAAUUGCAAAUCUGAUGUUAUAGGGGAACUGUUGACGGGCAAUAGAAGAGAGGCUAAUUGCUGGCUACCUCAAGAGUUUUCCCCUCUCUGCUCUUCCCUCACAUAGCAUAUGGCUUCUCCUCUAUAAAAAUGUUUUAAAUAUUUAUUGAUUUUAAGAGGUACUCCUUGUUGGCUCAUUUUCUUGGUCUUGAUUCUGUUCUGCAGUGUGCUCUAGCAGGAGAGUGGGCCACUGUGGUGGAUACUUGUCUGUGUCAAUGCAACUGGGCUCUGAGGUGUCCAUAUACUGUUCAACAUGAUUUCUGAGUGUGACUGUGAGAGUGUUUCCGGAUGAGAUUAAUAUUUGGGUCAGUAGACUGGGUAAAGCAGAUUGCUCUUCCUGUGUGGGUGGGCCUUAUCCAACCUGUUGAAGGACUGAAUAGAAUAGAAGGCUGAUAAGAAUUCUUUUUCUCUGCCUGUUUUCAACCUGGGAUAUUGGUCUUCUCCUUCCUUUGGACUUGGACCAGAACUUACACCAUUGGCUCUCCUGGUUCUUAGGUCUUUGAUCUUAAACUGGAACUAUACCAUCAGUUCUCUUGGGUCCCUAGACUGCUGACUGCAGAUCUUGAACUUAACCUCCAUAAUUACAUGAGCCUGUUUCUUAUAGUAGUAAAUCAAUCUCUCUCUCCCUCUCUCUCUUUCUCCCCCUCUCUCCUAUUGGUUCUGUUCCUCUGGAGAACCCAGACUACUACAGGUACCCCAUAUUGUUGGGUUGGGGAAAAGAGGUGGAGAGUGCUUGAACAUGUAGGUGGUCUGGGAUGAGAAAAAAAACCCAAAAAACUAUGAACUCAGGGCUCCGGUACCAGAGGAAGUUAUUGCAGCUUUGGAAAGUGUGCGGCAACAAGAAACCCUAGAAAAGACUGCCUACUGCUUUAAGCCUGUCUUAAUAUAAGUGAGUAGUGUGUUAUUCCUUCUUUAUCUCAGUUACCUCUGUGGUCUUAAAAUGAUCUGUUAUUGUAGCUUAGCUGCUCAAAGACAUUCUCUGCAGUAGAUAUAAGGCUGUUGGAAGAGAGGGGAAAAUCAGGAAAGUUAGAAGUCAGGCUUGUUUUUCAGAACCCUUUAGAUCUAUGUGACUGAACCUAACAAAACUAGGUUGUUAGGUUGAAUGGGUUGUCUUUUUUCAUUUCUUGUCUCUGAUUUUCUUUGUAAGUUGGAUUAUUUCCCUCCUGUACUGGACAGCUUCUUUUAUGCAUCUGGGGAAGACGAACACAAAAAAAAUGUAGACAUUUUUCUUACAACCCAAGAAUGCAAAAGAAGUAAGAACAUAAUUCCCAUAAUGCAUGGCAGAAAAGUUCAAGACAACUCUGAUUGGCUAUUUUUGAUCAUGUGCCCAUCCCUAAACCAAUCAGGGAUAAUGGAGUUCUCUGUUUGACAAAGUUUGGGUCAUUUGCUCACUCCGAGGACUAGAAGGUUGUGUUAACCCUCCAGUUCUCCAAAACACAUGGAAUGGAGAAAGGGUGGAUCACUCAAGUGGAAGCUACUGUUGUUACAAGAUAAUUUUAAAAAAAGAAAAAAAAAGUCUGGUGUAGAUAUGUAAAUGAACAUGUGCUACAGAUUUAUUCUAUACACUAAUCAAUGAGAGGGCAAGACAGAUUAUAACACAUUCAAAAAAGAUUGAAAUGAAUGUGCCAAUGGAGGCAAAACUAUUUUUUCCAAGGCUGGGGGUGUUGGGAAGAAGUUAAUUGAACCUCUACAGGACAAAAUUAUAGACAAGAAUUAUUUUGUCUUGCUACCGGUCACUUACAAUUCAGAGAAUUAUAAAACAACUUCCACAGAAUCGGAAUCUGAUAACCCAGAGAGGUUUUGCCUAGAAUCUAGUUGCAUAGUUUUCAACUGGAAGCACAAAUAUUUUCCCUUCCCUGGGAAGACAAACAACAUGUGUUCACUAAACAAGGGAUGCAGUAUUUGAAGCAGAAAUAUUUCUCCUCCUAAUUCCAGGUGGUACCAGCAGAAAGUUUAGCAGAGUUCAACUGCAGUAGGUAAUCUAUUGGGUCCUUGAAACAGGGACUGUGCCUCAGUUGUCUCUAUGUCCUCUGGGCCUAACUCAUGAGAAAUAUUUAUUAAGUGUGGGGAAUGAAUGUUGAGGAGGGCGUCUGCUGAGUGGACUUCUUCUGGAACAAUAGAAAAGCACCCUAGAACCAUUCUCGAGCUCUUACUUCUCACCUAUCAGAAAAGCCCUAUCAUUUUAUUACUAUAAAAUACAUUACAUGUACUUAAAACACUCAAACUUUGAAUUUUUAUUAUAGAUUACUCAAGGUUGAUUUGGUUCUCUGUAGAUGUUAUUUCUGUGGUGGUUGACUACAGAAACACUAAAUAGUCAUAAGAGAUUAUUAUUUUUGUCACCAUUAUAACUACAGUAAAAGAUGAUUGAAACUGUCCAGGAUUUGUAUUAAGCUACAGUUUGUGUUGAAUACAAGGAAGUGCAACUUCCAACCCUGAUGAAGAAGAUGUUUCCAGGGGACCCAGUCACUCCCAACUAACAAAUAUGUAUUUACUAGGCAAUAGGCUGCUGCUAGGCCAACCCUCAAAGAAAAGCAUGAACUCAAUAGGAAAUAAUGGCUAAAAACAUAUUUGGUAUAAGAAAAGAUAAAAUAAGCAAUUGCAGAUUCAGCAUGGCAUCCAGAAAGGCCAAGUAGUUUAUGAGCUGCAGGCCCAACAAUCGAAUCAGUUUCACACAGUCUGUUCUGACAUUGACUUUUCAAGCUAAUUGCCUCUUGAUCGUGACUCCAUAGGAGCAGGUGAUAUCAGGACAGAAUCAACCAGAAAACUAGUUAUCUGCAGGAAAGGACAGAAUUGACUCUGCCUUUAGGUUCACAGAGUAGCUGUCAUUGUCGUCACUCAGGCAUAUGAAUCUAUGCGAUUCUUGGAAAAUGUGGGACGAGGAGGUCUGUCAUGAGAGCUAUAGCCAAUUGGAGGGACACGGUCUAAUAGUCCAGCACAGUAAAAAGUAAAAAUAUGGGUUUUUUCCCCUAACCGGUGAAUUAAUAAAGUAUGUGUAGCCAUUACCCAAAGACUUGUGUGUCCCUCUGGGAAUAAAAUAUGUAUUUAGUUGUAUCUCUUUAGAAGAUUCACUUAGUGUAAAAUAGAAAGACAGCUCUGAUUAGGGCAGGAUUCUUCACAAUUAGAUCGAGAGCUAUAAAAGUAGAAGGAUAAAUUUGACUAAAAAAUGUAGGGAAUUUCAGACUCUCGGAGGGAAAUGUGGGGAGAUUUCAAGAGGCCGGGGUGUUCGAACCCAAGUCAAGCCAGCAAGCACCUCCAGGAGCUGGUGUGUGAUCUUCACCUUCAUCCCCAGGCUGAUUUCCAAUAGAAAGAAGCUGAAACCCAAAUCACGCCUGGCUCUGUUCCUUCACAGCGCCCUCCCGCGACCAACGGCAUUCUUCUUCCCUAAACCAAGGUGAUCUCAAUGGAAACUUUUUCUUUCCUCUUUUCCAGGUAAUUUAAAAAGAAAUAAAUAAGUAUCCAAAAGCCAACCCAGAGAGGAAAACCCUUUGGAAAGAAAGGAUGCUGGCUCACUCAUUGUCUCCCCGUGUGGGCAGUGGACUGCCGGGCACGCAGGCUGGGCACGUGCAUCUGUUAGCUGGGGAAAGAAUUCACUGCAGCGAUUGGGCGAUCGUUUGUGACUCCUAAAUGCAGCUGCUCUGCAAUGUGCCAAGUGUUCACACAGAAAAUCAUCAAACUCCAGGGAAGGGGGAGGGGGAGGGACACUUGGAAAAACUGAAUAUUGGAGUUUUGGAGCAGGUUGAGAGGUAGCAGGAGGGGGAAGAUUUCAUCUCUGAGGUGGUCCCAUUUUAAAUAUGUUUUAGCCUUCUUACAGAAAGUGGCUCUCUGUAUAGUUUACACACCGCCUGCCAGCCACUGCUCCCUGGCCUCCUCUGCCACCUUCCUUUUAAAGCAACAGCUGCUCAUUCAUGGGACUGUGCAAACACCUGGGCUUCUUGCGUGUGUGUGUGUGUGUGUGUGUGUGUGUGUGUGUGUGUGUGAGAGAGAGAGAGAGAGAGAGAAAGAGAGAGAGAGAGAGAGAGAGAGAGAGAGUGCACUUUAUGAGCUUUGUGAAAUAGAAGGCUGUAGUCAGCCUUAGAAGAUGCCAAGGAGGAGAGGAGGAGAGAGGCUGGUAAGGGGCGCCCUCCCAGACAGUAGAGAGUGGAGGAAAAUAGGAUCAUCUCAAACGUAUGAACUCACUGAACUCACUGAAAGCAAGACCAAAAUAGUUUUGUCUCAAAGAUGCUUGUUCUGACCAAGCUUUACUGCAAUGCUGUAGCAAUGGCGCACAGAUUCCAGACUCAGGAGUCAGAUGCCCCUGGCUUUGAGUCCCUUCUCUGCCCUGUGACCUCUGCUUGUUCUUGGGCAGGUUGUCUAAUCCGUCUCAGGCAAAACUGCAUCACCUGUGAAAUGGAGACAAGAAACCUCUACCUCAUGAGAUGCUUGGAAAGAUUAAUUAGAACAUGGAGCAGCUCAACAGAGUUAUCUGCCAGCAGUUCUUCAGUGACAAGCCAGUGAGCUCAAGUGGAAGAUGGAUGGGUGAUUUUGCUUUUCAGGCUCCAAAGCAAAGUAGACUUGGCAAGGAGUAAGGGUCACCAUUAAGACAAUCCAUGUUUGCAGGGGUGACACAUUUUGUCAUUUGUAAAUGUCUUCCAGCUUGGAGGGAAACGUAAGGAAAUUCUCUGGAAGAUGUUUUGAAGUUUAAUUAAAACGCAGUUUGAAAACCUAUCCCUUGUGCUUUGCGCUUGUAAAUGUGAGCGUAUCGGGAACUUGCACAGAGAUGUGAAUGUUCUCAUCCUGUUGUUGGGUAGCUCUGGUUGGGACCUGUGUCUAUUAAUCUUCUGACAAAAUAGCUGUGUGCCUCUCUGUGCACAACUGGACCUUGUAGGUCACGUCUGUGCGGUAUAUUCAUAGGAUGGAAACCUGAUGUUUUAAAUUCUCCUCGCUUCCUCUGGGAGGUUGCUGUAUACUCAGCACAAACCCUUGCUUCUUGUACUUUCAGGGCUGGAAAAGUUCCUAGUAAACCAGAAGCUGAAAAACAAAGGUCACUCUGGUGAACGGUUGAUACCUUGGAGCCGUUAGUCAUUCUCUGAGCUUCUUGUUAUUGGAAUGAGAGAAUGGCAUGACACGGGAGUCUGAAAUACUCAAAACUCUGAUCCAUCUCCUACGUCCAGCAGACUAUUUGCUUAACUCUGCUUUUCAGUUCAUUCAUCCAGAAACUGAAAGAACUUUCAAGUUCUGUUCAAUGAACAUUUCUUGAGCACCUGCUAUGUACUAAUGCUGUUAUCUAGUGUUGGAUGAUAUACCUUGACUAAGACAAGGUUCCUGCCCUCAAUAAGUUCACAGAAUCAUUAGGGAAGUAACAUUGGCAACUUGGAAGUAACAGUUCUUCUCUUAAGGAGUUGACCCAGGACACAUGAUAGUAUAAUUCAGUGAAAUAAUACCUUCAGCCUUUGGAAUCUUCGUAGCUACCAGUAUUUAACACCUCCCCUGGAUCGUUUGAUUGAGUCCUUACGAGGAGCUUAGCAUGUGGCCAUGUUUUGCUAACUGUAUGAUAGAAUCUUUUUUUUUUUUGCCGUACGCGGGCCUCUCACUGUUGUGGCCUCUCCCGUUGUGGAGCACAGGCUCCGGACGCGCAGGCUCAGCGGCCAUGGCUCACGGACCCAGCCGCUCCGCGGCAUGUGGGAUUUUCCCGGACCGGGGCACGAACCCGUGUCUCCUGCAUCGGCAGGCGGAUUCUCAACCACUGCUCCACCAGGGAAGCCCAAUGAUAGAAUCUUUGAUGAUAGUCUUACUGUUAAUACCUUCUGGGUUAUUAAAUAAGAAGUAGCCAGUAUUUGUGCCUGGGAUGUCUUUUACCCUUUGUUUAAGGAAUGAACGAUGGCUCUACUGGGAAUACCUCGUGGGAACACUUAGAACUCUCAAUAAAAGUGCACCCUCUUACAGAAGAUGAACCCACUGAACUUCAACAUAUUGUUUCUGUUCACAGCUCGUUCUGUUUUUCCAUGAACUUUGUAGCCAAAGGGAAAAAUAGCAGUUAAACUGUAAGAUGCUCUAGAAUUAAACCCUAGAUUUUCCUAAAGUUAAUGCCCUGUGAUGGUUUAAGUAUAUCAGAAUUUCUUGCAAAAGGCAUUAACUUGUGUUCUUUAAGCACUUCGAGCAUCUAUUAAACCAUAUUUCAGGAUUUACUUAAUGAAUUGACUAUAAGAUAAAAUCAAAGUAAUUCUUGACUUUGUUCUUCUUGUUGGGUCCAUUAUAUAUAGUAUAUUAAAGAACUUUUUGAAUUUUAAAACAAUUGACUCCCUUUGUCCUUGUAUGGUAGUUAUAGAAAGUUAAAUAACUACUUUGCUCAACAGGUACUAAGGUUAGGUAAUGGAAAAUUAAAACAAAAUUCUUAACCAUCAAGGUGUAUAAUUAUGCUAUUUCCUAAGAAAAGCUUCAAUUUCCCCUUAUUUCUCAGAUUGAUGCUGCCUGCAUUCCCAAUUUUUGUAACGAGGAAGCUAGAUGCCAAUGUUGAUUUUAGGUAUUUUCAGGACCAAUAAUGUCAACACUGAUCUGGGUUCAUCACUUAUGUAGCCCUGCACCUGUUUUACAAUGAUGGCUAAGAAAACACAGAGGCAAGGAAUAGGGUCUUCACAUAUAAGUACCACUCCUUGUCUUUUGUAGUUGGACUUCCCAAUGUCCAUAAAUAUGUCUUAGGUAUCUAAUUAUAUACCAAAUUUCUGUCUGAAUAAAAUUUGUGGAAGGCAAUAGUGAGUUAGCAGAUUAGGUUUUAUUUUUUAAUUCCAGAAUACUUAGUCCAACUUGCCUCUAUUUAAAUCAUUACUGCUUUAUAAACAUUACUUAAGUCAAGCAUGAGCCGUAUUCACUUAGACCGUAAUUUGCUAAGAGUUUAUUUACAUUCAAACACUUAUUAUCUUAAAUUAUGUAUUUCAGUUUUUCUUUCAUAGAAAAUAACAAUGUCAGAAAAAAUGACUUUUUCCCCCAAAGGUUUUUUUCUUCCUUCAUCUUCCCAUCCCAUCCCUUAUCCUAUGAUUUUACUCCUAUCACUACUUGAAGACCAAGGAUAUGACUGAAGGUAACAAUGGCAUUAAUAAUGUUUUGGUCAGAACUGAUAACUAUAAAUUCCCCCUUUUCAUUUCAGGAAUGGACUAUUUGUGAAGAAAAGCCUAAAGAUGACUUGAAUCUGAUGCUUCCCUGCCGUUAUGUCCAGAAUCCUGCAAUAUGUCUUCUGAAUGUCUCUGCUGAAAAUUUCAAUGCCUCCUGUAAAGAGAAAGAAGGGAAAGAAGAGAACAGGUUAAUUCUCUUUACAAAUGAAGAGACAUAAAAUAAAGGAUGUAAAUUAAGGAACACAGAAUCACAAUAGAAAGAGAUUCAGGGGACUGCUUGUAAAUAUCUUUUACAGAAGGUGAUUGUGGGAUCCACCUGACUUUCUAGAACCUCUGCUACAGGCCGAGUCUUUAAUCUGAUCAAAUGGUCAAUGUACAGCAGAAAGGAAAAUGGGUAAGGGACAAAUUUGAGAAUUCAGAAAUAAGGCCAGGCUGUGCAAUACAUCAUUAAAUACACCUUGCUUAGAAGUUUAUUCCCCGGUGAUGCCCAACAGAGGUGAUGCACAGGUUGCUUAUUCUGUUCAGGUUCUCACUGGGCCAAUCUCUCACUAAGAUAAUGGGCUGUUGUGAGGGUAGAGUGUGUGAUUUGGGGUAAAGGUUAGAAGGAUGUGUAAUUAAACAAAGUAUGUUUGAUUUGAUGAUAUCUGUCCUUCUUUAGCUGUCCUUAAACAGUAAUGAAUAAAACUAUCAUUGGACUUUAGUUUUUGAAGCCAAAACUAAGAUAGAAUUGCUGCUAGUUUUUUGACUGAAUCUUGCAUUAGAGAUUGGGAAAGCCCAUUUUAAAUUAGAGAAUAAGAAUCAAUUAAUUUAAAAGUAUAAAAUAACAAUAUUUCACAUCACUGUGUUUGUUUUAUUACCCAGAAUAAGUUACCCCUUGGGACUGACACAUUUUCGAACCCUUUUAAACACUGUAAUGACAGUAUUUUAAGAUGAGCUAGUGACUUUUUCUCUGCUUUUCUCUCUCCUUUUCUCUCCUCUCUGUGUGGUCUAUUUCAGGGAAUACAUAUUGGUGUCAAGGAAACAACUACGGAAUGGAAUCUGAUUGGCUGUGUCACUGCAUUAACAGCCAGAGUUUUACAUGGCAGACCUGCAUGGUUGUGAGACCUACCAAGAAGCAAACUCUUGACAAUUUAGGAAUUUUAUGUGCAGCUUGAAGAAUGAAAAACAAGUUUAGCAUUUAGGGGGUUUUAAUGUCUUAAGGAAUUGACCUCUUCACCAAGAGUCUUGUUUGGAAUGAUGAAAUAGCUAGCUCCUAGUUACACAGAAAAAAAAUAGUUUACGAUUAAAAUUGUAAAUGGUAGGUGGAUAUGGAUGGAUGCUAUGAAUAAAGUCCAAAAGGCAACUGUCAAACUCAAUAAUUUGCUUACUGUACUGAUUUUUAAAGGUCUCGGUACUAAAUGGUAUUUAGUGAAUUGAGUAACACAAGCAGGGAGGGAAUGAAUAGUCUCAAACAAUUAUUUCCUCAGAAGGAAAGAAAAAGGAAAUAAAUUAAAGGACCAAGGAAAAGAUCUUUUGAUUAAGUUUCACCCUGCCCAGCCAGUUUGCUUGUUAUCUGUCCUUCUGAUUUCUCUUUAACAAAGGCAUGUAGUGGAACAGUCAGGUAAAAUAUGUACCAUGACCUAAAAGUAUAUGUAUAUGUUUAUUACACAUAUGAGUAUGACAACACUUUAGACCUCUAGCUCUUCUGAGUACUUAAAAGCUUUUCUAUUAUUUCUAAAUCAGUGUUUGCCAAGGCAAAUGAUAUGGUCUCAAUUAAAUGAGUUCUACUGUAACUGGACAUCUCAUUUGCAACAUCAAAAAUUCCAAAAUGUAAUUUCCAAAAUUUAAAGCUAUGUAUUUUCCACUGAAUGGUUCACGUGAGAGGAUCCAGACAGUGUUAGCACAAUAGUUUCUUUUAAGAAAUACACCACUAUUAUAUAUUAUAAUCAAGUCUGUGCUUGCUAUAUCAUCAGGCCUCUUAGAUCAUAGUAUAAUAAUGCAAAGAGAUUAAAAAGAGGACAUUAAUAAAAGGUUGGAGGCUUACAAAUCUUUAAAAUAGUUAUUCUGAAAAGAUUCUAGUUGGAUUACAAAAUUUGCAUGACCCCAUAUGUUCUCAUCAGUACACUCCUGAAUUUCCCCACUCUUCCCUACACCUCUAUUGCAUUGUAUUGGGAGAAUGCCAACAUCUGGCUGCCAAAUGAACAGUGCUUUCCAUGAACAUCCCUCAGAACCAGGGAACAGAAAGGAGAAGCAGAAGUAUUCUACUUCUUUCAGUCCUAGGUCUGGAUUUGAUUAGGGUACUGCCUAAUUUUUACUAAAUCUAUUUUUUUUAAUAUCUUUAUUGGAGUAUAAUUGCUUUACAAUGUUGUGUUAGUUUCUGCUGUACAACAAAGGGAAUCAGCUAUACAUAUACAUGUAUCCCCGCAUCCCCUCCCUCCUGAGCCUCCCUCCCACCCUCCCUAUCCCACCACUCUAGGUGGUCACAAAGCACCGAGCUGACCUCCCUAUGCUAUGCAGCUGCUUCCCACUAGCUAGCUAUUUUACAUUUGGUAGUGUGUAUAUGUCCAUGCCACUCUCUCACUUCGUCCCAGCUUCCCCUUCCCCCUUGUGUCCUCAAGUCCAUUCUCUACGUCUGCGUCUUCAUUCCUGUCCUGGCCCUAGGUUCUUCAGUUACCGUGUUUUUAGAUUCCAUAUAUGUGCGUUAGCAUACGGUUACUAAAUCUGCUUUAACUUAGAGACACCUUUGGGAUAAGAAUUGACGAGGGCUGGUUUUCAAUUCUCCAGAUAUUUAAGAGCAUUGCAAAUUUUAAAUGAAUAGAAUUUAUUCAAAAGUAUUUCUACUUCUGUUUUUAUAACAUAUAUUAUAUAUAUAUAUAUAAUGGAUAAAAAUAGGUUCUGGCAAUAAAGUAAAACACUUGCAUUAGUUAUAAAUAUGUACAAUUAGGAUCAUAUCUUAAAAUACACUGAAUGUGUGCCUUAAGCCAAGACUUACGGGGUUUGUUACCCCUUAUAGACCCAUUAGAUAUCUGCAGAAUAGAUCAUUCACUGCUAAAGACUCCUCUAGUGCCACUGCCCACUGAUUACUGAAGCUGUACUACUUAGCCAGUAUAACUAUUAUUUACAUGCUAUUUAAUGAUGGGUUUUGUCAACGUAACUCGAAGAUAGAUGUGAUGGUAAGAAGGUUCAAAAUCCCCUUUGAAACAUCACUCUGUCAUCCUCUCUCUACCAGUCAGGGGAAAGGAUUGGAGAAGUAACAGGGGACUCUUUAAAUAAUGAGAUCAUUACUGCAUAUGAUGCAUUCUUGUGUAGUUUUCCUCUUUCUUUCAAACCCCACAGAAAAGCUGUACUGAAAAGUAAAAACCAAAAAAGAUCCUAUGAGCGGAAAUGCAGGGGUAAAGUGCAGUACUAACACGGCGCUGGCUUAAGCGUCAGGAAAUGAAAUAAAGGCAGUUCUGAGGACAGCCUAUCCCAGUUCCCAGGUCUGCUCAGUUGCCUUAACUGUGGAAGGCCUUCGUUUUCUAUUUUAUAAAAUGAGAUUAAUACUUGCCCCGUUUUUGCCUCACAGAAACACACAUAGGUAGAUAGAUAGAUAGAUGAUAGAUAGAUAGAUAGAUAGAUGGAUGGUACAACCAGAACGAAAUCUAAAAGCACCCAAAUAAUAAUUCCAUGUAAUCUCACUUAAUCUUCACCUGACCCAGUGAGGUUGGCACAAGUACUAUCUUUAUUUCACUGAAGAGGGGAGUUAGUCUUAGAAAGACCAAGGAACUUGCCCAACGUUAUGAGCUUUAAUAAGUUUAGACCCAAGACUUGAACCUAAGGGUUUUGGCUCCAAAGUGUGUGCAUAUGAGCAUCUGUGAGCUAAGAAUAAACAAGCCACAUAGAUGUGGUUUUAUUAUUCCUACUAUAAUACCCUAGAGGAAGUAUUUCAACUUGCAGUGGGCAAAUAGAUACAUGAGAAAAACUUAUACCUUAUAACCAAGUCUAUACUUAAAAAAUUUCAGAAAUCGUGAUUUUUGUUCCAUGAACUGGUAGAAACCAGAGUUAAAUUUAAUUAAAUAAAUUUAAAGCCUGUGUUUAAAAUUUUAAAUUUAAUUAAAUGAAAAUAUAUUUAAAUUUUAAAUAAAUUUAAAUUAAAAAAUGUGGACGGCUGAGAACUGCUUAUGGUAAGAUAUUUUUCUGUAGUGUUUGUAGGUCAUAUCAAAUCCUUCUGCAUUCUCCCUUGGAGUGAAAAAAAGAAAGAAAGAAAGAAAGAAAAAACAAUCAAAGUUUGACAUGGUAUGAGUGGGGGAAAUCAAUACGUUUCUCUAACAAAUGGUGAAGGUGCAGUAGUUUCUAAAGCUUGAGUGAAAAAAUGAAAGGGGUUAGUAGAGCACUAAAGGAUUGGUGUCGGGGUUUGUUGGUGGAGAAAGAAGCAGGGUGAUUAAACCCCCGUGGGUGUUGAAGGGCUGGGAGCACACUGCUUUAAGGCAGGCCGUAUCCUGAGCCAUCUUGGUUUUGUAAGCUUUUAAAUUGUGGAGCCAUUGAUUGAGGGACAGAUAGGGAGGAGAUUCUAGGUCUGUGCAAGCCAAAGCAGAAUAGAGGCUCCACACCCCACCUGGGGACACGGAGGAGGAGCUGGGGCCCCGGGAGCCGGUUACCGUGUA